UACGUAGGGGGCGAGCGUUGUCCGGAAUCACUGGGCGUAAAGGGCGCGUAGGCGGCCUCGCAAGUCCCGUGUGAAAUCCCUCGGCUCAACUGAGGAAUGGCACGGGAAACUGCGGGGCUUGAGUUCGGGAGAGGGAAGCGGAAUUCCGGGUGUAGCGGUGAAAUGCGUAGAUAUCCGGAGGAACACCGGUGGCGAAGGCGGCUUCCUGGACCGAUACUGACGCUGAGGCGCGAAAGCUAGGGGAGCAAACGGG
rnacentral:rRNA from 1 species